AAAGACAAUAGAAAGGCAGCUUAUUUUACAGGUAAGUCUCAAGUUCCAUGGUCGGGAUGAUUAAAAAUGAAAGAGAAAAUAUGAUCAUGAUCUUAUGAAAACAAAAUCAUCUAUCCUUGGAUUUGACAGGAACUCCUUUGUACAUUUGCACACGAUCCUUCAAUGCAUCUCGCCUCGGCCGAGCCACCUUAUUGUUAGGAUCAAAAAGUAGCACUUCUUCAAAUGCCUUGAGGGCAGAUUUCAAAUCUUUUUUCUUCUCAUAUGCAUCACCAAGGUUGUUCCAAGCUGUGACAUAACCAGGUUGAAGCUUCACUGCUGUUUCAAACUGGGCAAUUCCUUUGUCAAGUUUACCAUCACGAACAUAAUUCACACCCAGGGCAUUGUAAACCUGCACGGUUAUUUGACCGGUCGAAAACCAUACUAUCGUCA
rnacentral:misc_RNA from 1 species